rnacentral:rRNA from 1 species
AUGCGCAGAUAUCAGGAGGAACACCGAUGGCGAAGGCAGGUCACUGGGCCGCAACUGACGCUGAGGAGCGAAAGCAUGGGUAGCGAACAGGAUUAGAUACCCUGGUAGUCCAUGCCGUAAACGUUGGGCACUAGGUGUGGGGCUCAUUCCACGAGUUCCGUGCCGCAGCAAACGCAUUAAGUGCCCCGCCUGGGGAGUACGGCCGCAAGGCUAAAACUCAAAGGAAUUGACGGGGGCCCGCACAAGCGGCGGAGCAUGCGGAUUAAUUCGAUGCAACGCGAAGAACCUUACCAAGGCUUGACAUACACCGGAAUCAUGCAGAGAUGUGUGCGUCUUCGGACUGGUGUACAGGUGGUGCAUGGUUGUCGUCAGCUCGUGUCGUGAGAUGUUGGGUUAAGUCCCGCAACGAGCGCAACCCUCGUCCUAUGUUGCCAGCACUUCGGGUGGGGACUCAUAGGAGACUGCCGGGGUCAACUCGGAGGAAGGUGGGGAUGACGUCAAAUCAUCAUGCCCCUUAUGUCUUGGGCUUCACGCAUGCUACAAUGGCCGGUACAGAGGGCUGCGAAACCGCGAGGUGGAGCGAAUCCCAAAAAGCCGGUCUCAGUUCGGAUUGGGGUCUGCAACUCGACCCCAUGAAGUCGGAGUCGCUAGUAAUCGCAGAUCAGCAACGCUGCGGUGAAUACGUUCCCGGGCCUUGUACACACCGCCCGUCAAGUCACGAAAGUCGGUAACACCCGAAGCCGGUGGCCCAACCCUUGGGAGGGAGCCGUCGAAGGUGGGAUUGGCGAUUGGGACUAAGUCGUAACAAGGUAGCCGUACCGGAAGGUGCGGCUGGAUCACCUCCUUU